CGUGUCGCUACUACUAAUUGAAUGGUUUAGUAAGGUCCUCGGAUUGGCACCAUUGCAGAAUCUGCCGCGAGGUUGGUGCUCGAUAGGUGAUGAGAAGAUGACCAAACUUGAUCAAUUAGAGGAAGUAAAAGUCGUAAAAAGGUUUCCGUAAGUGAACAUGCGGAAU
rnacentral:ncRNA from 1 species